UUUAAAAUUUAAAGUCUAGCCUGCUCAAUGAUAAUUUAAAUAGCCGCAGUAUUUUGACUGUGCAAAGGUAGCAUAAUCAUUAGUUUCUUGAUUAGAAACUUGUAUGAAUGGUUGGAUGAGAAAUGAUCUGUCUCUAUAUAAUUUAAUUGGAAUUUUAUUUUUAAGUUAAAAAGCUUAAAUUAUUAUUAAAGACGAGAAGACCCUAUAGAGUUUAAUUUGUUUAAAUAUUUAAUUUAUUAAGAAUUUACGGUGUAUUUAUUUAAACAAGUUUUGUUGGGGUGACAGGAAAAAUAAAUAAACUUUUCUUUACUAUUAACGUUGAUUUAUGAUUUGUUGAUCCAAUUUUUUUGAUUAAAAGAUUAAAUUACCUUAGGGAUAACAGCGUAAUUUUUUUUGAGAGUUCUUAUCGAAAAAAAAGUUUGCGACCUCGAUGUUGGAUUAAAAAUUAAG
rnacentral:rRNA from 1 species